rnacentral:tRNA from 1 species
UGUUAGGUGACCGAUAAUAGGUGAUAGACUGUAGAUCUUUUUAUGGAUUAGAUUUCCCCAGCAA